AGAAAGGCUCUGCCGUUACUCUCAGCUGUUAUUUGUGCUGAUGUUGGGGUCUUUGCUGUGGCUGUGCUUGGAAGUUCUUGGAUUCUGCUUCUAGAACUCAAAGCAAUCUGUGCUUUAAAAAUUGACCCAGUGGGGGCUGUAGGGUUUCAGGUCUGGCUGCUCCCAUCGUCUGUUCAUUAUUGCUUACUGCUGCAGAACCCUCAAAAACGGAAAACAGGCAACUCAGAUUAUACUUUAUCUUAAAAGAUUUUGCUGAUCUCUACCACGAAUUCAUCAGGACUAAUGAGACAGAUAAGUAAAGGAUUUUGUUAUUACAUGCCAACUCCAUAAAGAUACUCUGGGGUAAGCGGAGAGGUGGUACAAUCUUUGUGUGUGAGUGAUGGGAAAGAGCUACCUGGUUACAAAUUCUGGUCCCACUGAAGUCGGCAGGGGUUCUGCCAUUUGCCUUCAACAAAGCAAAGGGUUUCACCAUGUGUUUAACAGG
rnacentral:lncRNA from 1 species